GACGGGGGGGGCAAGUGUUCUUCGGAAUGACUGGGCGUAAAGGGCACGUAGGCGGUGAAUCGGGUUGAAAGUGAAAGUCGCCAAAAAGUGGCGGAAUGCUCUCGAAACCAAUUCACUUGAGUGAGACAGAGGAGAGUGGAAUUCCUGGUGUAGCGGUGAAAUGCGCAGAUAUCAGGAGGAACACCAAUGGCGAAGGCAGCUCGCUGGGACGUGACUGACGCUGAGACGCGAAAGCGUGGGGAGCGAACGGG
rnacentral:rRNA from 1 species